rnacentral:rRNA from 1 species
CAUAAUCAUUAGUCUUUUAAUUGAAGGCUGGUAUGAAUGGUUGGAUGAAAUAUUAACUGUUUCAUUUAAAAUUUUUAUAGAAUUUUAUUUUUUAGUUAAAAAGCUAAAAUUUUUUUAAAAGACGAGAAGACCCUAUAAAUCUUUAUAUUUUAUUUUUAUUAAUUAUUAAGAUAUAUUUUAUUAUUAAAAAUUAAAACAUUUUAUUGGGGUGAUAUUAAAAUUUAAUUAACUUUUAAUUUUUAAAUACAUAAAUUUAUGAUUUUAUGAUCCAUUAUUAAUGAUUAAAAAUUUAAGUUACUUUAGGGAUAACAGCGUAAUUUUUUUGGAGAGUUCAUAUCGAUAAAAAAUAUU